CACGGUGCUGCCGGGGAUUUACGCGGGCGGUGACUGCGUGGCGCCGGGGCAGGACUUGACGGUGCAAGCCGUCCAGCAUGGC
rnacentral:tRNA from 1 species